rnacentral:tRNA from 1 species
GUAGAUUUAGGUUAAUUUUAAACUUUUAGUUUUCAAAACUAAAGAUUUUGUUCUAUU